UUUUUUUUUUUUUAACAGGUAUCCUGAUCAAAACCAGCUCAGCGUCAGAUGCCGUUAGGAAGGUAUGACUUCAAAUUACACUUUGUAUCCCUGAAAGAGGGAAACAUUUAAGGCAAAAUUAACAUCCUGAAGCUGUUUCGACAUGGGUACAUUCACAAGGUGAACAUGAACACUCAAGAAUCAAUCUGCUGGCUCACUCUCAGUCGAGAUGGGAGCAACUGAAAGUCUUCAGCUGACAAUCAGGUUUAACCACUUAAGACCCUUACUGCAUUUAACACUAUUUUUUUAAACUUGAUAUUUAAACAGAAAUGGCAGAUGAAGAGCAGACAGAGUCCAGAAUCACUUGUUUUCUAUGAGUGUCUGCACUUUGUGGACCAAGUCUCGAGCCAUCGUGAGGACCCGCGGGAUCUCAUGUCGCUCGGCCAUUUCUGAGAAGACAAAGGGAGGUCCAAUGACUGGUGUUACAAGCGGUGUCCACAAGAUCCUCGCAUGCCAGCUUGGCUCUCUGAGCUCGACACGCGGGCGGGGCCG